rnacentral:lncRNA from 1 species
GUGAUUAAAAAUGAUUUCAAGAAUGGACCUCUUAUGAAAGUGUUUUUCCAAGUUCUGCGGCUCCUGGUUCUCUGCGCUCCGGCGAUCUCCUUUCCAGCUCCACUCCAGCAACUCGACGACCGUUGGCCAAGUUCUUCUCGACAAUGUGUGCUUUUUGUUACAUUUGAUUUUUGUUACCAGUGGCUUGAUCUGUAAUAUCCCGAUUCAGUGCUGUAUUUUUUUCUUGACCUGCAUGUUUUCU